CCAAUAGCGUAUAUUAAAGUUGUUGCAGUUAAAAAGCUCGUAGUUGAAUUUCGAGACCGGUCUAUUGGUCGUGCUUUUGUACGUACUGGUAUAAUCGGUUUCUCCCUUCUGACGAACCAUGAUGCCAUUAAUUUGGUGUUAUGGGGAAUCAGGACUGUUACUUUGAAAAAAUUAGAGUGUUUAAAGCAGGCUCACGCUUGAAUACAUUAGCAUGGAAUAACGGAAUAGGACGUUUGAUUCUAUUUUGUUGGUUUCUAGGAUCGACGUAAUGAUUAAUAGGGAUAGUUGGGGGCAUUAGUAUUCAAUUGUCAGAGGUGAAAUUCUUGGAUUUAUUGAAGACUAACUACUGCGAAAGCAUUUGCCAAGGAUGUUUUCAUUAAUCAAGAACGAAAGUUAGGGGAUCGAAGACGAUCAGAUACCGUCGUAGUCUUAACCAUAAACUAUGCCGACUAGGGAUCGGAUGAUGUUAAUUUUUUAAUGACUCAUUCGGCGCCUUACG
rnacentral:rRNA from 1 species